rnacentral:misc_RNA from 1 species
GGAUUUUUCAUAAGCUCUGUAAGGCAAGAGGUUUCUUGACAAUUAUCAAAUUGUAAUCAAUUUUUUAUAAUGCUUUGAAUUAGAAAUUUUCAAUUAAAUAUGAACUAGUGUUCAGAACAUAUUCCAAUUGCUAUUGUGGUUUUUGUUUGAAAUACAAAUACUCGCUCUAUUUGUGUUUGAUUAAUUUUCUUUCUAGUUUUCUCAUGUGGGCUUUGGUAAGUUUUGUCCCCAUCUUUUUCCUGUGUUUUGAAAGUAGAACAAAUCUUGAUUUCCUUUCUCUGGAACCUCUCCCCCAUUUUUUUGCAGGUGUAUCUAUUUAUAUCUUCUC